GCCACAGGAACCAGCCCUGCCACAAAGAAUCCACAGAGCCUCUCAGCAUCAAGCAGGGCUGCCCAGAGUCCCUAUCCUCUGCUGGUACCUAUGCUUUGCACAUGAUGAGAAAAGUUCACCAUCUCGAGAAAAUGCCCCAGGACUGCACAAAGACCCUGUUCCGGGGCUGAGGGCUCCAGCCAGGAGCUGAUAGGGACCUGCCUCUAUGGAGCUCCCUGUCAGCAUCUUCUACACUCAUGCUCAUUCUUUCACCUUUCAAGGACCCUGGAUUCUUCCACUGUCUUUCAAAGCCACGGAACAGAAGAAUGGAUGGGACUUGAGGACGGCAGCAGAAAGGCAGUGGAAGAAACAGGUGAGGCCGAUGUAGGUAGUGAUGCCUCUAUGGAAAUGGCAGAGCGAGCCUGGAAGACAGCCUGGCGGAAGAGACCCCAAACUGUGCUCUCAAGAGGGCUAACAGCUCAGAACAGCAACAGCAGGGGCCCAUCUCCUGUUCCCGGGGACAAGUCCACACCACGGACGGCCAUGUGUGCAGGGCCCGGACCCCUCCAUCGGUUCCCAACCUGCAGCCGCUGCCUGAGCACACAAUGUGAUUUGUGGUGCAGGCCACCCAGGGACUUUAAUCUUCACCGUGACAAAUGCAAUA